GCAUACCCAUUGCGAGGGCAUUCGGUUGGCUAAAACGGUCCCAUCUCCGCCUUGUGUCGGCGUUCCGUGAGGGCGUUCGACACGGGGUGGAUCUCACGGCUUGCGUCGUGUUUCGCGCCGCGUUCACCUUAAUCUGUGUUUGGGUAGGCGACCCACGACGUGAUGCCCGUUGUCUCGGGUACGGAACACCGGGUGGGUUCGAGGCAUUAUCCUUUGAUCACCACACGAAUGCGUUCUACGCUUUAUGCGAACGACGGCCGCACACGAUCCCCGGCGGAGCACUCGCUGCUCGGUCGAAGUCGUGUCGGCGUCGGUGAGGGAUGC
rnacentral:misc_RNA from 1 species